AAUACAACGGGUUUUUAACUCCCGGAACCCACUAAGUUAACUAGGUAAGAUUAACCUAGUUAGUAAUGGGUAAUUAAAUAAUAAACUAUGAGUUAUAGUUUCAUUUAUGAAUAUCUAAACUUGAGGGACCAAAACCGUGAAAAAGGAAACAAGUUUUAUUUAAUAAAAAAAAAAUAAUAACACACCACACACACUAAGUGUGUGGAUCGAUCUCCAGGAGCGACCAGGAGGGUGAAAACCCUAGAACUCAACAAAUCUUGCAAAUUGAAGGUUCAAUUCAAGUCCAAAUCGAAUUCUAAACAUAGAUUCCUGAUCCUCAUCACAAGGGGAUUACAAGUUUGACGCGUAACAAGCUAGGUGGAAGCUUGAUGAGGGAGCGGGUCAAACGAAUCAAGAAGGAAAGGAAAAAGCAUAGUUCGGACACGAGGAAAUAAAUAGCACAUGGAUGCUUACAUCGCUAUCGUUUAGCAGCCACUAAGGAAAUGUAUUAAAACGGGUCAAUAUAUUGAUCCGAGCCAGGUAUGUAUAAUAAUACAACUCAUCAUGUAGAGCUUGGAGUUUUAUAAUAGUUAGACGAGGUUAAAAUAAGAU